UACGUAGGGUGCGAGCGUUAAUCGGAAUUACUGGGCGUAAAGCGUGCGCAGGCGGUGAUGUAAGACAGAUGUGAAAUCCCCGGGCUCAACCUGGGACCUGCAUUUGUGACUGCAUCGCUAGAGUACGGCAGAGGGGAUGGAAUUCCGCGUGUAGCAGUGAAAUGCGUAGAUAUGCGGAGGAACACCGAUGGCGAAGGCAAUCCCUGGGCCUGUACUGACGCUCAUGCACGAAAGCG
rnacentral:rRNA from 1 species